ACCAUCCCCAUCCAUCCACAGUUCAAAAUUCGAAUCGAAUCAGGCAGACGCAGCUCCAUCGAGCGGAGGAACCACGCCCUCCCAUCCACGCGCCUGGAUCCCUAGGUUUCUUCACGAUUCAACGAUGAAUUGGGGUGCGGAGUCAUUCAUGGAUCUCCUCUUUAGUCUCUGUUCCCAGCCGGUCGCAACAGAGGGCGUCCCAGAUCUGGGAUUGCUAGAGGAAGAGGAGGAGGAGGACGAAGAGUGCAUCCAUCCUAAUUAACAGAACGAUUUCUCCAAUGUCCCAGAUAUUAACGACACCGAACUGACCAAAGAGACCCCACCUGAAUCGCAUCCCACUCCAGUUCCGUGGACUCAAAGGUACUAGCAUGCCCAAUCUUCAGUUUCUAAUUUCUAGUUUUUUGAUUAACGAAUGUUAACAUCUAGGCCUGUGGAAGAACAUGUAAAAUAUAACUUUAGAGGAGAAGUAGGCAAGCUUGUCAAAAGUUCAGUCUUAAUCACGGGCAUUGACAUAUACAUUAGUAAUCGAUUGAUUGUGUUCAGUUGGUUGCUGUCAAAAUUUCGUUUUUUUGUAGCAAAUCAUAAACAGUACACUUGCCCAAAUUUCAGUUUCUUUUUUCGUGUUACAAGUCCUCCAUUUUAGUACCAAUGAUCGUAAACAGUACACUUGCCCAAAUGUCUCAUCCAUGUGUCAAAGAAUCAUGCAACUGGGCAUGUGGUUACAGUAAUUUAUAUAGACAAUUUUUUGUUGUCCUUUUUGGUCCAUAGUACUGAAUAAAUUGGGUUUGGCAUUGGCAUGUACAGUAGGACAUAUUUAAGAGAGACGUAGCUUUUGACGCUACACGGUUAAAUCUUUUGGAGCACCUGGAUUCAAAAACUGUAGACCACCAUGCACACAUGAGGAUACCCAGCCUCAUUUUUCUGAAUUCAUCAUUGUGUUUUUUUUACAGUAAUUUACUUGUCAGGGUCAUUUGUGUUACAAGAGGCUUGGCAGACAGAGCAAGGUGUGGUGUACGUCAUUGACCAUAUCUAUGCAGAGAGGAGGCAAGCGUGGUCCAGGACACAAUAUCAUGUUCUGUUUGAUCAGGGGUCUGGAGGAUAUUUAUAGUUAGAGAGAUCCCAGAAGUACACAUCGUGAAGAGAUGGACGAAGAACGCUUGCGAGAACCUGCCAAAGCAUCUAAUGAUAUAUAAAGCAUGCAACUCUGCACUGAAGGACGCAACUUAUCGGCACUCUUCCUUGUACACAUCAUGAAGAGAUGGACGAAGAACGCUUGCGAGAACCUGCCAAAGAACCUGGAAGGCCACAAGAGGAAUAACUGCUCAGGAAGAAUGUUUGGCGUCUUCUAAUGACUAGUAAGCUUGCACGUGCAACGCACGUCUGAAAUAUGACUAAGAGAACUUCAUAGGAAUUAAACGAAUACACAAUGUUUUUAUUCUUGAACAAAUACAAGCAAAAAAAACUGUGAUGACGAUAAAUGAGUAGGAGGGGGUUAUGGAUCUUGCUAUCUUCUCUCAUGUUCCUUGUGAUCUCUGUUGCGGCCGUGGUGGUCGGGAUGUGAUUUAUAUACUGUAGUCACCAAAAAAUGUGGAAAAUGAUGAAUUGACGACCGUGACUGAUGUUUAAUUAUUUUCUUGUCACACAAACAUGUUGGAAAACAGCAGUAUACAAAUGCAGCCACAACAACACCAUGAAUAUUCGUCUAGAAAUAUGAGUUUGCUGCAAAAUUGACUGAUCUUCACCACUGUCAAUUACUGCUACAAAUAUAAUGAACAUGCACAAAGAGAAUCAAAAGUUCACCUUAUCACGUAUAGAAGUGGCACUUGGAUUAAGAAUCUGAAACAUAUGCAUGCAUGGUACCAAUAACGAUUGGCAGACAACGUAUACGAACAAAUCUUGCUUACUUUAUUCAAGAUAUUCAGAGAAGCAUGUACUGAAUUUUAGGUGCAUUUUCCAUAGAUUGUCAAAGAGAUUCUGCACAGUUCUUCCAUUCAAAUGGUCUAGAAACUAAAAAAAAUGCAGUAAUCCAUUGGCAUAAAUGCCCUACAUACAAUCUCCUCAAAUCUUGCUUGGAUUCAAUCCAGCAUAUUUGGCAUCUUUCAUGCUUUGUAAAAACAAAUCUUGGCCUAUCGAUGGAUGUAGGAACAGCUACAACAAUUGACAUAUCCAGCAGAAAAUAUUGAUUGGCAUCUUUCAUGCUUUCUAAUUAUUUUUCUUGGGUGUAGGAAGAGGAGAUAGGGCAAAUUAUAACAUAUAAAAAUCCAAUACCAAUUGGCAGGCCAACAUUCAGAGAAGCAUGUACUAAUUUAGCUUGUAGAAAUUCAGAGAAGCAUGUAUUGAAGAAGCUAGCUCACGGGAAAGCAUGUCGCAUGAUUUGAUGCAGCAAUUGCAGAAGAAAUAACCAGUUAAUCACUGACUCAAUUUAGAUUAAAUGGGAACUAUACUGUAUUAAGUUGGCGAGGGGAAAAAACAAUAGAGUUAGUCACUUUCAGUGUACAUGAACAGUGCAGAUAUGCUACAUCAAUGUAUUGAUUCUAUCUCUUGCUAACAUCAGUAUAAGUGUGCAUCGGAACAUGUCAUGGAUUUCCAUAUUCUGAUUAGCCCCAUAAUAGUAUUCUCCAGUUAUUAAUACACUUCAGAAAUAUAUAAUAGGCAUUACAUUUAUACAGAAUGUAUGAUAAUUCAAUCUGCAUUGAGUUACAAAAUUACAGUUGAUUUUGUUUGUUUAGAAAUAAAGGUACAAUCAACUGUAAUUAAGCAUUAUAUGAAAC